CUCCAGCUCAUAGAUCAUUAAUUUUGUUAAAGCUUCAGAUUUGGUCAUUAGUUCAAAAUGUGACAAGAUUUGUUUAAAAAAUGUGGAAGUUGAUUUUUCUUCACUAUUACAUACUUGAUAAACAUGGUAAAACAGUGAAAAUGGGUCAUUUUAUCCAUGAAAUGUAAGAGAUCAACUAAAAAAUAUAACAAUCACUGAGAUUAAUAAAGUGCUGAAUAUUGAUAUCUGUUUCCUAGCUUGUUUCAUUGUUGAUAAUUAUGGUGAGAAAUCAGAGUCUUCACAGAGAAGAGUAUCAUUAUUCAUUAUUAAUGUUUAACUAAAGGACAACCGAACGAAUUUGUUAUUUGAACAUGAUAGUCCUUCGAAUGACUCAGGAGUAGCUCUCUGUUUCAGAAUGGUUGGUGACCCCUGACCUGGAUGUUAAUAAUCCUGCAUACCUUCACUUUCAAACAGAUUCCAGAGCAGUAAACAGCUCAGAGGAAAUGAAGAAAAAAGAGGAAGUUCAGAGGUGAGAAAGUCCUCUCAUCUGGCCUUCAAACCUUUAUCCAGUUCUUAUCAGGAUCGGAAACGAAGAUGUAGAUCACAAGUCAAGGCCCCGGGGCCGGAUCCGGCCCUCCAGUUUCAUAUUGAGACCCCAGUGAGGCCGUGUCUAAACACACCGCAGAAGCUGCCCCCCGAGCCCCACACCGCGUGAGGAGAUUCUCCGGAGUUCACCGCCUUCUUCUGGAUUCAGAAACCAACAUGUCUGCAGGAGCAAUGAUGUUUACAAAGUGAUCGGCUGCAUGUAGUCUGUAGACAGUAAAGGAAACCUGCAGAGGCUGUAGAAGUGAACAGGUGAUUGUUCAGAAAGCUUCUGAAUUCCCGGAAUUGUCUUUUUGUUUUUUUUGUCUUCAGGAAGAAUCUGACGGCUCGCGCAGAGCCACACAUAAAUGUGGGCGUGUCACUUUAACCACGAGCAGUAAACCCAGCAGCUGGACACUGAGAGUGAUCUAAAGGGUGAUCAGUCUCUGGGGGUUUAGAUCAUUUCAUUUUCUAGUCAUUAAAGUGCAGGGAUCUGAGUUUGUGCAUUAGAACGUGUGUGGACGCUCCGAGUUUACGAGUGUCUGGAAAUUCCAGAAGUUCUAUUUAUGGAAAAUCCAUUAAAACAGCUUAAGUGUCAUUCACUUUGAGAAUAAAGCAAACAAAGCAUCCUGAUUCUUUUGAGGGUUAGCAGCUCUCUAACCUCUGUCCAUGGCGUGCACGUGGGCAGUGCUUUAACCCUGUAACGCUGGAGCUCCAGGGUUCAUGUUCUUUGAUUCACUUAAACUUCAACGGUUAACAUGUAAUUCCAGCAGAUUGUGAAGGAGAAAAGUGGCUCCACGGGUCAUAAAAACACGACUCAUGAUCAGAAAAAUCUCCUCAAAGUCUGCAGGAAUGCUGGGAUUUGAUUGUUCCAUCAGUUUAACUGUUAUAGUCAGAGAAGCUGCAGAUUUGAUUCCUGCAGCAGAACUAUUGCAUCAACGUUCACACCUAAAGCUUCUGCUUCUGUCUGUGGUGAAUGUCUUCCUUCAUUCCUCUGUGAGCAGAUCUCAGGCUUUGGAUUCCUGGAAAUUCCCUCAGAUUAGGAAACUCUCAUACAGAUGCAGCUGGAAAAAACAGUUAGAUGUCCAAAAAAUAACG